GAACUUAGCAGAGAUGCUUUGGUGCCUUCGGGAACUCUGAGACAGGUGCUGCAUGGCUGUCGUCAGCUCGUGUUGUGAAAUGUUGGGUUAAGUCCCGCAACGAGCGCAACCCUUAUCCUUUGUUGCCAGCGGUUCGGCCGGGAACUCAAAGGAGACUGCCGGUGAUAAACCGGAGGAAGGUGGGGAUGACGUCAAGUCAUCAUGGCCCUUACGGCCAGGGCUACACACGUGCUACAAUGGCGCAUACAAAGAGAAGCGACCUCGCGAGAGCAAGCGGACCUCAUAAAGUGCGUCGUAGUCCGGAUUGGAGUCUGCAACUCGACUCCAUGAAGUCGGAAUCGCUAGUAAUCGUAGAUCAGAAUGCUACGGUGAAUACGUUCCCGGGCCUUGUACACACCGCCCGUCACACCAUGGGAGUGGGUUGCAAAAGAAGUAGGUAGCUUAACCUUCGGGAGGGCGCUUACCACUUUGUGAUUCAUGACUGGGGUGAAGUCGUAACAAGGUAAGCGUAGCGAG
rnacentral:rRNA from 1 species